CGGGGGUUUAAUUAAGCCUGGCUUGAGGAGCCGAAGAGAGCCGAAGGAAGCCCGAGGUGGUUUAAGGAAGCCGGAGCUCAGCCCGGUUUAACCAAGCCCAAGCGAAGCGCAGGUAAGGAAGAUGGAAAGGAGGCCGGCUUAACAAAGCCGCGAUUUAACGGAGCCCGAACUGAGCCUGGUUUAACAAAGCCGCAAUUUAACGGAGCCCGAACUGAGCCUGGUUUAACAAAGCCCAAGCUGAGAUGGGUUUACUGAAGCUCCAACUGAGGACGGUUUAACAAAGCCUGAGUUAAGCCUGGUUUAAUGAAGCCGAUGUUGAGCCCAAUUCAAUGAGCCUGAGCAGGGCAGGCUUUAAAUGAAACCGGAGCUGGUCCCGGUUUAAGGAAGCCCCAGUUUAACCAAGCCCGGUUUAGCCAAGCCCGGUUUAGCCAAGCCCAGUUUAACCAAGCCCAGUUUAACCAAGCCCAGGCGGCCCCAGGCUCACCCCCGCCCAUUAAUUAGCCGUGAGCAGCAGGGACGGCGCUAAUUGGGAGCGGAUCCCGCUGUUAAUUGGGGCAGAUCUCGGUCCAGCCCCUCCCUCUGCAUUCCCAAUUAACUGCGCCAGCUUAAUGAACUUCGGGGCGUGGCUGAGCCUUAAUUAGCAGUGACUGCGAAAGGAAACGCUGGGGAUGGGGCUGAGCCGGAGGUUCGGCAGCGGCAAAAUCAGGAAAGACCCCGGGAUUUUGGGGUUUUUGGGUUUUUCCAUGGCCUUUCCCUGGGCAGAAAGGCAAAAAUUCCAGAGCUCCAAGGCCCGGGAGCAACUCCUGGAGAUUUCACGAGCAGUGCCAAGGGGGGAGAGAAUUGCAUCACCACCUGUCCUAAUCACCGUUUUUAUUAAUUAUGUCAUUUCCUAAAACCUCUAAAAAUGUCCUCACCCCCGUGGGGCUGGAGGUUUGUGGGCAUCUUUCCCUAAGUGCCCCUGAAAGGCCUCAAGUAAAAUCCAGUUUUAUUUAAAGUCAGGACUAAAACGAUCCCGAGUUUCAUUCCCAGGCUGGGAAGAAGGGAACAGCCCCAGAGCGUGGGGGGCUCUGUCCCAGCCAGCACCAGCCCCAAGAAAUGACCCAGGAAGCCGAGUUGGAAAAGUCUCCAUGUUUUAAUGGGGUUUGUACAACCAGGACCAAAGGGGAAACCCCAAAUUAGCGCAGGCUCCACUCACAGUCAGCGUUCAGCUGAGCCCUCCCGAGCCAGAAUUCCCACCAGGGGUGGGGGUACAGCAGAAUUCCAAAGCCCAAAUCCACCUCUGGUCCCCCCAGGGCACAGAUCCCAGAGCUUGUGGCUGCUGUGGGGUGGGGGUGGGUGUAAAACCCACCAAUGUCACACCAAAGGGUUAAAUCCUGCUGGAAUUCUGGGAUAACCACGGGAAAAAUGAGAGUCCUCCUGGGCAGGGGGUGCUGCAGGAGUGGGAAGGGCGGGAGGAGGGAGCUGAUCCUGCCCCAGACUAACGGGGAAUUUUCCUGCUGGGCUCUGAGUGUUGGCACCUUCAUCCCUGGGCACCAGGGAACGACCCAGAACCCCAGUAGAUCCCAAAGCAGAUCCUAAACCAGACCCCAAACAUUCCCCAGAGCUGGACACUGCAGGGAUUUCAUUUCAGGGAGAAUUUCCUGCCUGGAACUGGGAGAGCAGGGAAAUUCCAGUGGGCAAUGAGGGAUGGACCCAGGAAUCCCAAAUGAACCAGGGGAUGGAUUCAGGAAUCCCAAAUAAAGCAGGGAUGGACUCAGGAAUCCCAAAUAAAUCAGGGAUGGACUCAGGAAUCCCAAAUAAAUCAGGGAUGGGCUCAGGAAUCCCAAAUGAACCAGGGAUGGGCUCAGGAAUCCCAAAUGAACCAGGGAUGGGCUCAGGAAUCCCAAAUGAACCAGGGAUGGACCCAGGAAUCCCAAAUGAACCAGGGAUGGACCCAGGAAUCCCAAAUGAAGCAGGGCUGGCUGGGCCCUCUGGCUUGGCCCCAGGAGAGGUUUGGAGCCCCCUCCUGCAGGUCCAUGAAGCACUUUGGGAUCAAACCCCACCGAGCUCUGCCUCUGCUGCAGCUCCAGCUGGACAGAAAAAGGAAUUUCCCCCAAAUGACCCAAAUCUGAGCUUCCCACACCCAACUUCCGUGAUUCAGAGAUCCAAAUGCACCCCAAGAGGCAGGAUGGGCCCCAAACACCCCUGGGAGACCCAGGGGAUGCCCUGGUCCCCCCAUCCCACCCCACUCCUGCACUCAGGUCCCACUCCUGGCCAAGCUUCUUCCCAAACCCCAAAUUAAAUUCUUCCCAACCCCAAAACCCUUCCCAAAAUUAAAAAGGGGAUGAGAGGAAGGAAUUAAAUCCAGGACAAGAGGGAGCAGCAAAGAAACCCCUGGGAAAAGCCCUUGGAGCCUCCCGAGCCUGAUUUUGGGUUAUUUUUGAGAGCUCCAGGAGUAUUUCCAUGGAUCACAGAGAACCAAGUCAUAAAAUCCUAAAUAACCAUUUGCUGACCCCAAAAUCCCACACGGGGCCACAAAAAGCCAGUAGUGAUACCAGAAUUAAUUAAUAAAUUAAUUAAUGCUCAGCUUUCCCAUCCUCAUGGAGUGGGAAGUUUUAAAAGCCAGUAGUGAUACCAGAAUUAAUUAAUGAAUUAAUUAAUGUCAGCUUUCCCAUCCUCAUGGCAAUGGGAAGAGAUUUAAAAGCCAGCAGUGAUACCAGAAUUAAUUAAUAAAUUAAUUAAUGCUCAGCUUUCCCAUCCUCAGGGGAGUAGGAAGUUUUAAAAGCAGUAGUGAUGCCAGAAUUAAUUAAUGAAUUAAUUAAUUCUCAGUUCCCCAUCCUCAGGGAGAGGGCAGUACCAGAUCUGCUCAGCCUGGGGCAGCCCGGCCGUGGUGUCACCCCAGGCCCAGUGACAGCAGCGUCCCCAGGUGCCACCCAGGAGGGGACUGAGGGAUUUCUGAGCUUAUUUAGCCCAGGCUGGUGCCAGAGCAGCGUCCCUGGAUUCAGGGUGUGCUACAGUGGGGGGGAAAGGGGCUCUGGGAGGAGAAUUUGGGAUUUCGGGGAGAACGGGGGUGGGGGGUCAGGCUGCUCCUGUGUCCCAUCCAGGGGGGGUCAGGCUGCUCCUGUGUCACCCCCAAGGUGUGUCACACCUCCAGAUGUGGCUCAGGCUGUUCCUGUCCCCCCCCAGGUGUGUCACCCCCCCC